GAUUGAGCAAUAAAUGAAUUAACAAGCUUGACAGACGCCUGAAGAGACCUGUUUUAUCCUGUUAUCUCUAUUGAAUGACGUUUUUUGUCGUGGAAUAGUGGAGAAUCGUUGAAAAUAGUGCACAAUACUGUCUGUUCUCUGGUGUUAGGCCAACGAAAUUCAACUACAACAAUAAGAGGUGUUUUGUGAGCAGCUGUAGAUAACGCAAGCUGAUGUCAUCGGCUUUGUGAGAGAGUGUGAAGGGGCUGCUCAUGCGAUAGUGUUGGGGAAUAGACGAAUGUCGAGUGGUGGAGGUGGGUGGAGGGACUGGACAACGUCAAUGAGACUGCGCGAUUAAGGAUCAGCGCAACACUUUUUGGCCAAGCCCCUACCUCAACCUACGAAGAGGCAAUAGAAUAGAGAAAGCAGAAUCUCGAGAAAGCAGAGAAGCAGUUAAAAGCCCCCGACCUCGAGAACAAAUACUUUCUGGGCCAGGCCUACCAUAAGGGACUUGCUGAAACAAAUUCACGAUCUUCAACCCAAAAAUAAGAAACAGGAGAAGAUGCCAAAGGAAGCGCCGACCCUCGUAUCCAAAUAUUCAAGUUACUGCUGAUAGAUGAUCCAAAAAAAGUUUUUGUUAAUCAUUUAAGUAGUCUAGAAAUCAAAAUUAAUUGUUAGGUGUGAUGUAGGAGUAAUGAUUUGGUAAUGCGCAAUGUGGCUCGAAUAGUCCUUUUUAUACUUCAAUAAAGUGUUGUCCAUUAA